GCCUGGGUGGCUCAGUCAGUUGAGUGUCUGACUUCUGCUAAGGUCAUGAUCUCAGGGUUCGUGGGUUCGAGGCCCUCAUCAGGCU
rfam:Felis catus isolate Cinnamon breed Abyssinian chromosome A1, whole genome shotgun sequence.